GUGAUAAACACCUCAGUAAUCCCCAUGCUGCAUCAUAUAUAUAUAUACACACACACACACAUUUUAUAUAUAUAUGUGUGUGUGUGUGUGUGUAAUAUAA
rnacentral:miRNA from 1 species